UACAGAGGGUGCAAACGUUGCUCGGAAUCAUUGGGCGUAAAGCGUACGUAGGCGGCUAUGUAAGUCGGGCGUGAAAUCCCACGGCUCAACCGUGGAAGUGCACCCGAGACUGCGUAGCUAGAGUCCUGGAGAGGAAGGUGGAAUGCUUGGUGUAGAGGUGAAAUUCGUAGAUAUCAAGCGGAACACCGGUGGCGAAGGCGGCCUUCUGGACAGUGACUGACGCUGAGACGCGAAAGCGUGGGGAGCAAACAGG
rnacentral:rRNA from 1 species